rnacentral:rRNA from 1 species
UGAAGCGGCAACAGCUCAAAUUUGAAAGCCCGCGGGCGUUGUAAUUUGCAGGCGGAUGUUUUGGGGCGGGCGCUGUCUACGUUCCUUGGAACAGGACGCCGCAGAGGGUGAGAGCCCCGUGCGAUGGCGCCUCCAACCGCGUAAAACUCCGCCGACGAGUCGAGUUGUUUGGGAAUGCAGCUCCAAGUGGGUGGUAAAUUCCAUCUAAAGCUAAAUACUGGCGAGAGACCGAUAGCGAACAAGUACAGUGAUGGAAAGAUGAAAAGCACUUUGAAAAGAGAGUGAAACAGCACGUGAAAUUGUUGAAAGGGAAGGGUAUGCGAUUAGCGGCCAGCAGGAGGUGCCUUCUCGUGAAAAGGCCGUGCACCGUCUUCGGACACCGUGCGCGGAGAUGGCGAGGGGGCGCCUGAGGUCUGCGACUCGAGGUUGCUGGCGUAAUGAUUGCAUACCACCCGUCUUGAACCACGGA